UACGGAGGGGGCUAGCGUUGUUCGGAAUUACUGGGCGUAAAGCGCGCGUAGGCGGACCUGCAAGUCGGGGGUGAAAGCCCGAGGCUCAACCUCGGAACUGCCUUCGAUACUGCGGGUCUCGAGUCCGGGAGAGGUGAGUGGAAUUCCUAGUGUAGAGGUGAAAUUCGUAGAUAUUAGGAAGAACACCAGUGGCGAAGGCGGCUCACUGGCCCGGUACUGGACGCUGGACGGCGACGAAAGCGGUGGGGAGCGAACAGG
rnacentral:rRNA from 1 species